AGCGAACGUUAGCGGCGCGCCUAACACAUGCAAGUCGCACGAGAAAGGGCUUCGGCCCCGGUAAAGUGGCGCACGGGUGCGUAACACGUAGGCAAUCUUCCCUCGGGCGGGGGAUAACGUUUCGAAAGAGACGCUAAUACCGCAUAAGACCACGAGCACUGCGGUGCUUGCGGUCAAAGCUGGCCUCUUCUUGAAAGCUAGCACCUGAGGACGAGCCUGCGGCCCAUCAGCUAGUUGGUAGGGUAAUGGCCUACCAAGGCGAAGACGGGUAGCUGGUCUGAGAGGAUGAUCAGCCACACUGGAACUGAAACACGGUCCAGACUCCUACGGGAGGCUG
rnacentral:rRNA from 1 species